UCCUACGGGAGGCAGCAGUGGGGAAUCUUAGACAAUGGGCGCAAGCCUGAUCUAGCCAUGCCGCGUGUGUGAUGAAGGYCUUAGGRUCGUAAAGCWCUUUCGCCAGGGAUGAUAAUGACAGUACCUGGUAAAGAAACCCCGGCUAACUCCGUGCCAGCAGCCGCGGUAAUACGGAGGGGGUUAGCGUUGUUCGGAAUUACUGGGCGUAAAGCGUACGUAGGCGGAUCAGAAAGUAGGGGGUGAAAUCCCAGGGCUCAACCCUGGAACUGCCUCCUAAACUCCUGGUCUUGAGUUCGAGAGAGGUGAGUGGAAUUCCAAGUGUAGAGGUGAAAUUCGUAGAUAUUUGGAGGAACACCAGUGGCGAAGGCGGCUCACUGGCUCGAUACUGACGCUGAGGUACGAAAGUGUGGGGAGCAAACAGGAUUAGAUACCCUGGUAGUCCACACCGUAAACGAURAAUGCCAGUCGUCGGGCAGUAUACUGUUCGGUGACACACCUAACGGAUUAAGCAUUCCGCCUGGGGAGUACGGUCGCAAGAUUAAAACUCAAAGGAAUUGACGG
rnacentral:rRNA from 1 species